rnacentral:tRNA from 1 species
GGACUGUAGCUCAGUGGUAGAGUGCUUGCCUCGCACAUGUGAGGCACUGGGUUCAAUCCUCAGCACCA